CAUUUUGAGCUUCGCUGUAUAAGGAGAACGAGGGAAGCGUUUUUUUAAUUGUUGGACUCUACUAUCCCAUUUAAGUUAGUCCCCUUGCUAACCAAACAUGGGCUUCAGGUCCAAUAUAGCACAGUCCCAUUCAGUGAGCCAUACCAAACAUGCAUAGAACAAGCAAGUCCGACACAGCGCAAACCAGUUUCUUCUUCUUCUUCACCUGCGUCGUGAUAUCUUAGUGCAGCGUGUAUCGACUCUGCCACACAAUUUUUCCAUUGACCUUCACGACGGAUUUGAUUGCAGGAGUGAUAAGCAAUUGAAAUAUUUCUCCAUUCUGAGAGCGCCAUCCAUGUGGGUCUUAUUUUUUAUGAUGCUUUCAGGCCACCUGAAAUUACAUAGCCUAUGAAUGUUGUGAACAGCAUGGUCAUCAACCAAUUGAACGAAUCUGUUUGUACUUGAAGUGGGCUUUGUGGUUUUUCAAUCGUGGAUAUCAGCGACAUCGCAGAUUCCUGAACCCAAAUGCACGAAAGAAUUGGGUUUGGGGGCUUAAUGCUUCUGGUGUUGUGCAAGAGUCCAUAGCACAACAUGCACUCCACCUGUUCGCUAAAAUGUGGCACUCAGUUGGGUGAUGCAAUGGGGUGGUAAUGCAAUUCUUGAUUUUGAUUUGGGCUAUCACAUGGGCAUUCAAGACAAAGGUAGUGAUGAGUUUCUCAAGAGUUGCUUUAUUGGAGAACUAAUGACAUGCUUAGUCAUUGGUUUGGCACCAAAACAUGCCAAAUUUUAGUCUUGUUUGCGGUUGUGUUGAGUAGUCUAGCUUAUCUAUUAGAUAACUUGUCCCCUGUUUUGUAAUAAAUAGAUGCAAGACCAAAUUUCUGAAUUUUUCAUGUACCUCAUGGUGUCACAUUUAAUUUCAUGGUCCAAAUUGCUAUGAAUGGGCUUGAUGGCAUUUUUGGAAUGCUUUCUUUGUU